rnacentral:rRNA from 1 species
AUGAGCCGGCGGUUUCUGUACAUGGCGGUCGAGAACUUGUGUGCUUCUCCCGUCUCGCACACGGUCAACCGCAUCAACCCCUCGCGCCUGUUCUACCCCAAGGGUUCGCCGGAGCGGACGGCGGCGGCCGCAGCGCCGGCUGCGAGGGCUAUGGCGAUGGAGGCAGCGAAGGAGAGGGCGAGGGCGAUGACGGAGGUGGCGGCGGCCGAUGCGGUGAAGGCUCGCCUGGCUCACCCCUCCAUGACCUUCUCCUCUUCCGACGUGGACAACGUGGUGGAUACGGACUUCGCGCUCAUCGGCCGGAGCAAGGACAAGAUCGUCGCCCUGCACCGCGCCCACCUCGAAGACAUCAGAGGUUGCCGGAUCACGACCCAGGGCAGCGCCGUCCUCUACGACGAUGCCUCGCACUCCUUCCGCGCGCUGCCCGACAUCACAGCCACAUUGCCCCACGGCGAGGUCGCGCCUGUCGCCGUCGGCGACGACCUUUCAUACACUCCACACGGUCGCACAUCUGGGCGUCCACGCGCAGUCACGGGACCUACUCCAUGGACCAUGGACACGGCGACCGGCGUGUGGAGCAAGGCCAGCGACUCACCGCUGCCGUUCAGGGGACGCGCCGAGUACGCUCCGGAGCUCGGCCUCUGGUUCGGCUUCCCCAAUGACGACUGGCAGACUCGGGGCUGGGACAGAGGACUCCUCUGCGCGUGGGACCUGAAAUCCGCCGGCGCUGGCGCCGGGGCAGCGCCGAUCGAGGCGCGCGGAGUGUGGGAAGGCUUCACGGUGCCCAGGGGAAGCUAUGUGAGGUCGCACCUCGUGCACCUGGGCGACGGUGGCCGGUUCUGCGUCACCAAGUUCUUUGAGAUGACAAAGCCGCCGCCGGCGUCGUGCUGUGCUCGCUGUUACUAUGACAAUUGCCCUCCUGAAAUCGGGUUCGCCGUGCUCAUCGGCGUGGAGGUGGAGCGCUAUGGCAGCGGGGAGCUCCGAAUGAUCAAGCACAGGUCGCGCAAAUAUAGCUUAGAAAUAAGAGACCAAUGUUCCUACAAGCUCUCUCAGAGCUCAGGCACUCUCGGCCGUCGGAUCGUCCUGCUUGAUGCAUUUUCGGCCGUUGGAUCGAGAGCCUGGUUACUCCAUUUGUUUGAUCGGCACUCGCUGACGUGUGGGUCCCGUCGCGGGUGGGCCGCAUUUGUCAGCGACCGUGUCUGUGGCUCCGGCGCGUCCGUCCCAUUGCGUGCACCAGCGGUAAAUAUCCCCAUGCCACCGCAUGUUAUAUCCUGCCCCGCCGAGGGUAUUUUGGUCUUUUCGCUUCCAGGGUCGUGCGUGGCUUGCGGUGGUUGGCUCGUGCGGCUAUGGGGUGGGGGAGGGCGGCUACCUAUCCUUUCGUGCUCUCAUUCGUCCCCCUUGUCUCCUUCUCCUAUCCCAAACCUAGCCGUCGCAUCGCCCCGUCCCGCUCUCCCGUGGUCGCUCGCCGCCGCCCGCACUGGCGCCGCGACCUUUCCUCUCUUCAUCGCGCCGCCACCUUCCCUUCUCCUCCGGCCUCGCCUCUUCCUCCCUUCUCCUCCGGCGCCUCCUCCCAAGGGAAGUGAAGGGAAGGAUCGAGCCAUGGAGGUCCGGUCCGGCCCGGCAGCGGCCAUGGAUGGAGACGCCCAAAACCCUAGCCCUCCAAGGACGUGCGCCGGCUGCAGGCCAUCUCCGGCGAGCUCAUCCACGGGUCUCCGACUAUGGUGCGUGUGCAUGAUCCCUAAAUCCCCUCUCUUGUCGCUGCUCCGAUCUGGAAGAGGGGGUGGAGCUGCUACUGCUGCAGGUGAACGAGACACGAGGUCUCAUGGCUGCUCCCUCCUCCUACCCCUUGACGUGGUGAACUCCACCCCCUCUUCCUACCCCCUGCACAUCUAUCUUAUUUUGAUUGCAAUUGUGGUUGCUCUGAUGAGGACAAGCUGCUUCUGCAGGUGGACGGGCCCUCAUGGUCGCCACACUCUCUCAUCGGAAGUUGGCAGGAGAAGCAUCGGCCGCCGAAGCAGACGAGCCGAGCCAUUAGUGGCUGCAUCUUUGACAUCCUUUCCUAGCAUGCUCGCCAGCGUACGUUGUCCACUGGCAGUAGCAAGGAUCAUGGUGCAGGACCCAGGCCACUCAAACUCAAAGCAUACUAACAACCAGGCCUGGAGAUAUAGUUUGCACAAUGUUCUGUUCUGCCAUAUGCCAUUUUGAUAUGGCUAAAAUGUUAGCUUUUGAUAUGUGUCAGAAUUAUGUUGCCCCACCAGCCUGAAAAUGUGAUAAAUAAAAGCCUACAGUGCUCAUUUAUUUGUAUUUACAGGCUUCGUUGUGCAUAUGAUUUACUCUUUGUUCCAUAAGAUCACAUUUUGGUAGUGGUGUAAGCUGAACCUUGAUGUUGUUGCUGCUGUAUUCUGUAAUGGAAUUGUUAGAUAAGGUAGUUAACUAUCUCUAGCCAUAGGUCUUAUAGUGGUGCAGAUUCAUUUUCUCUGCUAGGAGUUUACUUAAUUACAGAACAUUCCUGAAUAGUUACAUUAAGCUAGCCAUGUUCCCAGUAAGCUCAGAAAUUUCCUGGCAUACACUUGACACCAGUUAUCUCUCAUAUUUCCCUGAUUUCCAUAGCUGUGUUGUAUCCCUUACAUGUUGUUUUAGUCGGUCUUUGCGAUUGGUUCACUUAGAGGCUUAUUUAGUUGUCUGGUGAUUCUCCUCUACCAAGCAGCAGGCCCAAGGGAGUUGUGAUUUAGUCAUUGGCUAUGGUCAUUGGUAUGAUAGAAGCAUUACACAGUGCAUCAAUGAUAAAGCUACUGUUCUCUCAAACUGGUAAUAUUGUUCUGUUUUCUUGGAUGAUGUGAAGUUAACUGAUGGCCAUGCCAGCAUCAACUUGGUUUAUAGUAGGUUCAUAUGCAUGUAUAUUGAUGUAUUUCCUUUCUAACAAAUUUUUAGUGAUGCUUACUGCAUUAUUACAUAGGUUAAUGUCACUUUCUGACUUCAUUCAUUCAAGGUGGAUGCUUCUUUUGUAUUGUUAUUGUCAUGAUC